rnacentral:lncRNA from 1 species
GCCGAAUCCAGGUGGAUAAAUUGGAUCAUUGGUCGAUACUUGGAUAGGGAAUGGCAUAUUCGCAUUCAGGUAUUCUCGAAUUGAAGAUGGAGGAGCUUGCCCAUUCAUCCAAGCUUCAUACAUUUCGGCCAUCUGUUGUCGCAACAUUUUUACCUCCUCCACAGACACCGAUUCUUGUGCAACCAUUUGACUUUGGACGUCAUCAUUUCCCGACUCUGUUCCCU